CUGCUCUGAAUGAUGCGAUCAUAGUUCAACUGCAAUCAUCUGUGUUGACGAUCAUCAAUCUUUCGCUCCUAUCUGACAGAGCAG